rnacentral:rRNA from 1 species
UACGUAGGGCGCAAGCGUUAUCCGGAAUUAUUGGGCGUAAAGAGCUCGUAGGCGGUUUGUCGCGUCUGCCGUGAAAGUCCAAGGCUCAACCCUGGAAUGCCGGUGGAUACUGUCGGGCUAGAGUCCGGAAGGGGCGAGUGGAAUUCCUGGGUGUAGCGGUGAAAUGCGCAGAUAUCAGGAGGAACACCAGUGGCGAAGGCAGCUCGCUGGGACGUGACUGACGCUGAGACGCGAAAGCGUGGGGAGCAAACAGG